UCCUCGUGGACAACCUGCUGAGUGUGUCGGCCUGCACUGUGCGGUGAGCUGAGUGCUCCACCUGGUCACCGUCACCCUGAGCUCUUGCUCAGCGUCUCCCGGGGUCACCUCGCCUCGUCGUCCUUGCCUCCGUCUGCGGUGUGCUCUUUCACGAGCGCCCUGUUUUACAGGUUCCCUCUUGUGCUAUAGAACCAUGGAAGCCCCUCCUCCUCUCCUGGGCCGCACUGACUCUGCCUAAUGACCGACCAAACAGCUGUGGAGAGACCUCUGAGCACAUGUGGCCGACACAGCAGCAGCCCGCAAAUAUCAUCAUCGAGGUGUUGCCGGAAGCUGAGUCAGGAAGCACCGGUGAGCCGAAGUCCGUAUUUUUGGUGCCCUCUAAAAUAUUUAGGGUUUGCUGUGAUGCUCAGAUUCCGCCUCGGUUACAACUGGCUUCUCUCUGUCCCCCGCUCUCACAUGUAAGAGGUGUUACUUUCAUUUCUUUGUAAAAAGAAACCAAACUACCUGCCAACUGUUAGCAUCCUCAUUUGGGACCGACCAUGUGUCCUGCUCGAAGUCCGAGAGACAAGCUACCAGGCACAGUGUGUGUUACAGCAUGGAGGAACAGGACGAAGGAGGAGCACCGGAGGGUCAUGGAGGGUGCAGUCUUCGGAUUCGAUUCACUCUUCCAUCGUUGUGAGUGGCAUGGCUUGAUGCACCUUAGUUAGCUUUAUUUGGACUCAAUUUUCUAAUCUGUAAAACCACAACAGUGAUGUCAGAUCAUGUGUCUGAAACGCAGUCACCACUCUGCUAUUUUUCCAGUUCCUUCAUCUUUAUUCAAAGCUGUCCAUGGCGCCUUCUUACGGUCUCUGGACGCUCAGCCCCCCACAAGCAGUACCAGUCCAGUAGGUUGGCGUCCCCCGACCUUGGUUUCCCUGGGCUGGUGGAGGAGAGGUCACGCAACAGGCAGCAGGAGGCUUUCCUGCCUCCCAGAACAGCUGGGCGCUGCCACUGCAGUGGCUCCUGUCCCACUCCUGUGCACAGCCAGCCGUCUAGUUCUCGGCUUCCCUCUGGGUCAGAACCACAGGCAUCCGAAUUCCUAAGCCCUGACUCUAGGACCACCCAGGGGCCUCUGAAGGCUGAGGAGCUCAAGGAGACUUAGGAUAGUCUCUGUGUUGUUCACGGCUUUGAACAGUGUGAGGAAGACAGGAAGCACUGGAAAUAUUGGACACAGAGUGGAUGGUAGGUACCAGCAGGUCCUGUCCCGUCCCAUCCAGGCCCAGUUGGGCCAGGUUCUCUGCUGCUGCCUGCCCUGGCCCUCCCGGUGAGGCCCUUCCCAUUGCAGUCCCGAGGUCAGCCCUGCUACAUCCACCACACCCCUGCCCUCCAGUAGGUGUCUGGAAUCUGGCCUGUGGCCUGGGGGACAGGACGGGGGCACAGGAUGCUGCAGACCCUGAGCCACAGGCCCUCUGUGAGCCAGAGCUCUGACUGAGACCUCCAUCCCCAGGAGGAGAAGCCCUGGGUGAGAGGGCUGCCGAGGACCAUGCUGGAAGCUUCGGGAGCCAGGGGAAUGCUUCAAAGUCAAGGUGGUGCAGGCGGGUGGGGCCUCUGGGAUCUGCAGGCCUGGCACAGGGCUGCUGGGUGGGUACAGAUGGAAAGGCAGCUGCCGAAGGGAAGAGAGCUUUUCCGGUCUCCCUCUUCACCCAGCCCACCCUGCCCCAUCGCAGGGGCGACACUAGGCCUGCCUUUCGGUGGUGGCCUCUCCAGCCCCCACGGGUCUCUGCUUAGAGGGAGGACCGAGAGGCCAUGUUCUGGCUGUGUGGCCUUGAACAGGUUACUUUGCACGCACCUCUCCUCCUUUAGCAAGGGCCGGUAGUGACCACCAGCUGGCAGGAUCUCCUGUAGGAAGCACUGUUUCUAGCGCAGAGUAGAUGCUCUGCCUGAGGAUGCCUUCCGCCCACUCCCGCCCCACCCCAGCCCUCUCUGGGGAGGCUUUCUUUGUGAUGAGCAAGCUGGCAGCACCCAGCUUCCAUCUGCCCCUUCCUGGGACUCAACCCCAAGGGUCCCGGGUGCCUGUGUCACCUGCUGCCAGGUGUCCGGCAGGCUGAGCUCCUGCACUCGCUGGCCUGGCACCGCUCCUGGCUCAGAUGUGGGUGCAGUUUCUGUCGAGAGAGCUGCAUGGCCACCAUGCCCCAUGAAUUACCCACUGUACCGACAGCUGAUACUCCGAGAUGCAGAGGCCGCCCGGGGCCACCUGGCGACAGAGAGGUGGCCCACAGACCCCGUCAGCCUGGCCUUCACCAAUGUGGACACCCGCUCCACACACUCAGGUGGCUCCAGAGGGUGCAGAAUUGUGCACUUCUCCCGGAUCCCCAGAAGGGGCGCCCCCCUUUGGUGUGAGGGGAGCGGAGGUCGGAGCUGGCCGGAGGGGUCUCCCAAACACACCCUUGCAGCUCCUUCGAGAACACCGCAGGCUGGGGCCGCCGCUGAGGGUGGUGGGGAGCGAAGGGCAGCAGAUGUCCUCCGCUGCUACCUGCAAGGCCUUGGUCUGCGCCUCCACCCUGGGGCCUCCCUGCCCAGCGCCCACCCCUUCUCCAGGCUGGAUUAUACCCAACUUUCUGCUUCCUACAGACCCACACACACGCAUAAACAUCAGGGACAUUACUUUUUCUUGCUUCAGUAGAGAUAUAUAAUUAGAGUAUUUUGGAAAAUCUAAAUAAACAAAAAUAACCAAAUUAAUAUCAGUCAUCACUCCAACUGAAUACAGACAGCCCACAUUCUGACGUGCAAUCGUCUACGUGAUAUUUUACAUGCUGCUUUCCAACAUUUUCUU